rnacentral:misc_RNA from 1 species
UCUGAGCUCUGAAUAGUACUAUUUUCAGUCAGUGAAUAGUACUAUUCAAAGGCAGUUUGAGGACUAAAAAUAAGAUGAAAGUAAAUUGAAAUAAGUAAAAUAAAAUCAAAGUGACCAUCUUUUUAUGGACUUAAUCAAUAUUACCGAAAAAGAUUGACUAUAACCCGAUGAAGGGCAUUUUGGUCAAUUCACUCAUAGAGUUGACUUUUGACUUAAAUGUCAAUUAAAAUGAGAGAG